GUACGGGAGGCAGCAGUGGGGAAUAUUGCACAAUGGGCGAAAGCCUGAUGCAGCAACGCCGCGUGCGGGAAGAAGGCCUUAGGGUUGUAAACCGCUUUCAGCAGGGAAGAAACUGACGGUACCUGCAGAAGAAGGUGCGGCCAACUACGUGCCAGCAGCCGCGGUGACACGUAGGCACCAAGCGUUGUCCGGAUUUAUUGGGCGUAAAGAGCUCGUAGGCGGUUCAGUAAGUCGGGUGUGAAAACUCUGGGCUCAACCCAGAGACGCCACCCGAUACUGCUGUGACUUGAGUACGGUAGGGGAGUGGGGAAUUCCUGGUGUAGCGGUGAAAUGCGCAGAUAUCAGGAGGAACACCAGUGGCGAAGGCGCCACUCUGGGCCGUAACUGACGCUGAGGAGCGAAAGCGUGGGUAGCAAACAGGAUUAGAUACCCCGGUAGUCC
rnacentral:rRNA from 1 species